UCUGGAAGCGUCAGAAACCAACUCGUUUGGAAAUGAAUUGUACAGUGUAACAUUUCAAAAGAAGGGAGAAUACCCACUGUUUGGCUGUCAAUAUGACUUCAACUUGGAAGGAGUCGUUAACGUCCCUGAAUUCCUUGUUUAUUUUCCACUGUUUGAAGAGAUGGCUAAAAAGCACAAGAUGAAGCUCGUCUUCAGAAAAACUUUUGCGGAGUUUUUCAAAGAGAAGGUCCAGAAUUCAGAACAUAAAAUGCUGUUGAAGAAAAUGAAGUCAUUAGAGUAUGCCAUGUCCUCUUUGGUUCACUGUUGGCCUUUGGGAAAGGAAUUCUGCCAUCGUUGUCAAAACAGCUGAUGGGUGCUCCAGACUCUCAGCAGUCUGGUUGAUUGAUUGUUAACUUCCUCCAUUCAGUUGUACUAAUCGUUUUAAGUGGAAAUGGUAAGGAUGAAAGGAAAUGGGAAUGUGUGUGUGGUUUGUGGAUGUAUAAUAUGAAACUUUAAUGAAGAUAUGCUGCUGCAGAGAGAUUUGCAAAGCACCUACAGAAUUUAAUUGGACAGCAGUGUUGAUUAAACAGGCUUAGCAAGCACCAUGGAUUGCACUUUACAGUGCACGGACAACCAGAAACUUUUAAACAACUGUCAGUGCACGAACAACCAAAAACUUUUAAACAACUGUCAGUUUUUAACUUGUGACUUAAAAUCACAAGAAGAUUUUAAAAGGGAGGGUAAGAAAACAAAUUUACAAUGCAAGUGCUUCAAGAUGAGAAGAGGUGCAGCCAUCGCGAAUUGUAUACAGACAAGUCCCCAGUGGUGCAAUUCUAAGUUUCUCUUGAGAAUAAAUACAGGAGACAAUUCCCUGAUCAAGGAGUAAUGUCACCUUGUUCAUUAACAUAUGGAGUAAUAGUGGGCCAAUGUAGGAAUACCCUGAUCUGUGGAUAUUCUCCGUCAGUGAUAUCUGUAUGUCAUAAGAUACACCAAAAUUCAGGGAUUUUUGGUAGAAGGGGCUAUUGACAAGGGGGGGGAAAAGACGUGAAAAGUUCCAUGUCCUCCCAGUCAUA